CCACCUUCUAAAUACACACACACACACACAGUCAGACACAAACACACACAGUCAGACACAGACACAAACACACACAGUCAGUCACAUACACAGACACAAACAGUCAGACACAAACACACAGUCAGACACAAACACAGUCAGACACACACACAUACACAAACACAAACACAGACACAAACACACACACUCACAAACACAGUCAGACACAAACACACACACAUACACAGUCAGAGACACACACACUCACAAACACAGUCAGACACACACAGUCAGACACAUACACAAACACAGUCAGACACAUACACAGACACAAACACACACAGUCAGACACAAACACACACACACUCACAAACACACACAGUCAGACACAAACACACAUUACCUUUUUUUUUAUUUAAAUCCCCCCCCAACCUCC